AGGUGGCGGGCAGAGGAACGUAACGAAGAGCCAUGUCUCGGAUCCCAGCCUGAUGCAGAGAAAAGAAAGACAUACUAAUUGUCACAACCAGCAGAUUGUGCCCCCAAGCUUGUACCAGGCACUUCCAAACUUCAAAGCCUCAGCUUCAUACCUCUGAAGGAGUCAUAAACCAAAUAUGACAUGUCACAUGCAAGAACCUCUUAACUACCUCCAGAUUCCUUGUGCUUCAUGAAUGAAAACACCCACGUUACAUAAGGCUCUCUACUGGGCGGUAGACUUUCUGAGGCAGGUCCUCUGGGCACCUCCUCAAUGCCUAGCACAAAGCUGACGCUCCCCAGUCAGCAGCUGAGUUGCAUCUUCAGACGUGGUCCAGGUGUCUGGCUUUAGUCUCGAAGACACCCGAGCUGGAAUCCCAGAUCUGCCAAUAUUCUCACUAGCAACCAACGGGCAAGUUACUGAUGCUCUUUGCGCCCCAAUUUUCCUCACCUGCUAAAGGAAGCCAAUGAUAUUUACUUCAUGGAGAUGUGAAAUAAAGUGCCUGGCACCUAAUAGGCACUUAGUAAAUAGUAGUUGCUGUUAUUUCAAUACACUGUUCUCAAUACCCUGAAACCUAUAGAACCUGUGAAAAAUUCUGAUAUCUAAAGAGACAUGUGCUAAAUUUGUGUCUUAAUAAGAA